rnacentral:rRNA from 1 species
GACGAACGCUGGCGGCGUGCUUAACACAUGCAAGUCGAACGGAAAGGCCCUGCUUUUGUGGGGUGCUCGAGUGGCGAACGGGUGAGUAACACGUGAGUAACCUGCCCUUGACUUUGGGAUAACUUCAGGAAACUGGGGCUAAUACCGGAUAGGAGCUCCUGCUGCAUGGUGGGGGUUGGAAAGUUUCGGCGGUUGGGGAUGGACUCGCGGCUUACCAGCUUGUUGGUGGGGUAGUGGCUUACCAAGGCUUUGACGGGUAGCCGGCCUGAGAGGGUGACCGGCCACAUUGGGACUGGGAUACGGCCCAGACUCCUACGGGAGGCAGCAGUGGGGAAUAUUGCACAAUGGGCGGAAGCCUGAUGCAGCAACGCCGCGUGCGGGAUGACGGCCUUCGGGUUGUAAACCGCUUUCGCCUGUGACGAAGCGUGAGUGACGGUAAUGGGUAAAGAAGCACCGGCUAACUACGUG